GACGAACGCUGGCGGCGUGCUUAACACAUGCAAGUCGAACGGAGAGUCCCUGCUUUUUUGGGGUGCUCGAGUGGCGAACGAGUGGGUAACAAGUGAGUAACCUACCCUUCACUUUGGGAGAGCUUCAGGAAACUAAGGCUAGUUCCUGAUAGGAGCCCCUGCUGCAUGGUGGGGGGUGGAAUGUUUCUGCGGUUCGGGAUGGAUUCGCGGCUGAUCAGCUUUGUGGUGGGGUGGUGGCUUAGCAAGGCUUUGACGGGUAGCCGGCAUACGAGGGUGAACGGCCGCAUCAGAACUGAGCUACGGGCAACAGUCCUGCGGGAGGCAGAAGUGGGGAAUGUUGCACAGUGGGCGGACGCCUGAGGCAGGAACGCCGUCUGCGGGAAGAAGGCCUUCGGGUUGUAAGCCGCUUUCGGCUGUGACGAAGCGUGAGUGACGGUAAUGGGUAAAGAAGCACCGGCUAACUACGUG
rnacentral:rRNA from 1 species